GGGACCGUGAUGAAGCACAGACCAGCGGUGUUAGAAUUAAGCAGUGGGUCCCAGACAAAUCGCACCGUGCAGCAGGUUGUGCUGAGUCAGACCUGAAGGGCACACAAGGCUUCCCCUCGGCUUCUCUUCACAUUACCUUCAGAGUUAGCUCGGUGGUUUUAAAAGUUCAAGUGGACUUUUUGCUGUCGUGUUCAGUUUACGUUCUCAUUUUGUACUCCAGUGUUUCCUCUCCCUGGCUCCUAAAACCCCCUGCACAUCCCCUCCCAAGGCUUGGCCCUUUCAUCAGAAAGCCAAAGCUAUGGUAAGCAGGUG
rnacentral:lncRNA from 1 species